GACAGAGGGUGCAAACGUUGCUCGGAAUUACUGGGCGUAAAGCGCGUGUAGGCGGGCCUGCAAGUCGGACGUGAAAUCCCUGAGCUCAACUCAGGAACUGCAUCCGAAACUGCGGGCCUGGAGUGGUGGAGAGGGAAGCAGAAUUCCUGGUGUAGAGGUGAAAUUCGUAGAUAUCAGGAGGAACACCGGUGGCGAAGGCGGCUUCCUGGACACUUACUGACGCUGAGACGCGAAAGCGUGGGGAGCAAACAGG
rnacentral:rRNA from 1 species